AAACUCAAAAGUUGUUUUUAGCGAUUUUAUGCUUGUUUUGCAUUGUUUUGUAGCUAAUUUGAGAAAAGUAAAGAAUGGAGUUGAAGAUACAGGUCGUUGACUGACCGCCCGGCGGAACACUUAACCGCCGGGCGGUCCAGGACGAGGAGAAGGCAUGGCGAUUGGCGUUGGGCGGAUCUGAGGGAAACCGCCCGGCAAUGGCGAUUGCCGCCGGGCGGUAGGGCGAUUUAUGGCAAACCGCCGGGCGGCACACUUAAACCGCCCGGCGGUGGCUCGCUGCACUUGGGCCCAUUUUCUGAUGCGCUCCUCACCUAUAUAUACCCCUACUGCGAGUUCAGAGUCAUUCUUUUGACAGGGGAGAACGGCCAGACCUAAUUUUGCUCUCUGGAGAGGAUCUCUUGGAAGCUUAGGCUCCUUUUCAUCUUUUCUAGGGUUUGCUUUUCCAUUCUUAUUCCAUUU
rnacentral:lncRNA from 1 species